UACGGGGGGAGCAAGCGUUGUUCGGAUUUACUGGGCGUAAAGGGCGCGUAGGCGGUCAGCACAAGUCAGUUGUGAAAUCUCCGGGCUUAACUCGGAAAGGUCAACUGAUACUGUGCGACUAGAGUGCAGAAGGGGCAGCUGGAAUUCUCGGUGUAGCGGUGAAAUGCGUAGAUAUCUGGAGGAACACCGGUGGCGAAGGCGGCAUUCUGGACUGUAACUGACACUGAGGAACGAAAGCCAGGGGAGCAAACGGG
rnacentral:rRNA from 1 species